AAAAAUUUUAAAACAAAACAGCGCCGUUUCAGCCAUUACCAAUAUGUUUCAUUUCUCCAUUGGUUUCACAGCCACCCAAUUGGGUGUCUCUUGUUUCUGAUUCCCCGCGGGCUUGUACCUGUGCAACUCGAGAAUCUUGUGUUCGAGCCUGACGACAAGGAUUGAAACUUCGUUGCCUCGCUGGGUUGUGGUGGUGGAUCUGCUCGUAGAAAUCGUACAGCUCCCAGAGGUGGUCCAGCGGCAACGGCGGCGGCAACUGCAGUGACAUCCUCACUAACGAUUAUGCCGUCGUUUUUGGGAUCGAGCUCGUGGUUAGCAUCAUCGUCUUCAUCUCAUCGUCACACACUCAUCUAUACCAUUUUUAGAACGUGAAUACCUCAUUUUCCCGAGAACCCAGUUUUGGGUCACUGUUCAUGCACUUGUGUUAUCGAAGUUUUUAAGAGAUUUAAAGCUACUAGUGAGCUUUAGGACAUCUUCACGAAGCUCGAAGAAGAAAAACGAAGUGAAUUGGACGUCGGGAAGUCGAGUUUGGUGAGUUUCAAGUUUGGUCGGAUUAUCGAGGUUCCCCUGCUGAAAUCUCGUGGAUUUCAAGGCUUGAAAGUGUCGGUCAUUGGAGUUUGAAGGUUGAAGACGACGAAAUAUUCCGUCAAGUUUGACGGAAUAUUCUGACGGCAUCAGGUGAGACCUAUCCUGAGGACGAGCACCAUCAAUCGAG